UAAGCAGGUAGUGAAAUGACGGGGCUCAACCCCGUGUCCAUUACCUGAACUGCUAAGCUAGAGCAUGAUAGAGGUAGCUGGAAUUCCUAGUGUAGGAGUGAAAUCCGUAGAUAUUAGGAGGAACACCGAUGGCGUAGGCAGGCUACUGGAUCAUUGCUGACGCUCAGGCACGAAAGCGUGGGACGACCGGAUUAGAUACCCCGUAGUCCACGCCGUAAACGAUGGAUGCUA
rnacentral:rRNA from 1 species